GGUGGUGGGGACUGGAGCGGGCACCGGCGACGAGAGGCGCACUGCAGUGCUGCUCCAUUUCAACGACCUCGCUCUACAUGACGAGGUGCCGUUACCAUUGCAGUCAAUGGGAAAAGUAACAAGUGAUAUCAGGCGAGCAAGUUGGAUAGUUAAUCGUCGCCUCAUUAGGUUCAUUCCUCUUCGCAGAACUGACCAGCCCCAGUUAGGCCAUUACUAGUCAGAAUAUUGUUGGAUUUGAUCUAGCACCAGUGCGGACUAAAUUUGGUGGAAAUUCCGAGACUUAAAAUGUUGCAGACCUGAUCCAUGGACUUAAUUAGGAGUAGUUUUCCUAGUUAAGGUCACAGUACACUGACAAAGCCAAGCCAUCAGCCAUGCUGCAUGCACGAGCUUUGUACAGCGCUGCGAAGAAUCAAUAGUCACCCUGCUAUUUUCUACAUCUUGAAUAAUCGAAGGAUGUAACAAAUAGUAUUUUUUUUCCCGGUUCUGGUAGCAACUUUUGGAACUGGAUGUACUUUCGAUCAUUUUUUUACAUCUAGAAUGAUGAAAGGUUCAAGUUGUGUUUUUUCCAAAUCUAGAUGGAACUUAUGUAUGUCUGUAUCUUUUAUCUUUUUUCUACAUCCAAAAAUUUGAAUGGAUCAAGUAAAACACUACUAGUAUGUUUGUGAUGUUGGUCUGGAUGUACUUUUUUCUCUCUUCUACAUCCAGAAUUUUGAAUGGAUGAAGUAAAACACUAGUACAUUUGUGAUCCCAGGUUUGGUUCAUCCGGAUGUAUUUUUUUCCUUUUUUCUACAUCUACUGCUGCAAUUUUGUACAUUUUCAAUUGGAAGGAUGUAUUUUGUUUCUCUUUCCUACAUCUAGGAUUUUGAAUGGAUCAAGUAAAACACUACUAGUAGUAUACUAUUUGAGAUC